UACGGAGGAUGCAAGCGUUAUCCGGAUUGAUUGGGCGUAAAGCGUCUGUAGGUGGUUACGCUAGUCGGCUGUUAAAGAUCAGGGCUGAACCCUGAGCAAGCAGUCGAAACUGCGUGGCUUGAGUCCGGUAGGGGAGUGUGGAAUUCCCGGUGUAGCGGUGAAAUGCGCAGAUAUCGGGAGGAACACCCGUAGCGAAGGCGGCACUCUGGGCCGGUACUGACGCUGAGGAGCGAAAGCGUGGGGAGCAAACAGG
rnacentral:rRNA from 1 species